rnacentral:rRNA from 1 species
AGAAGUAGGUAGCUUAACCGCAAGGAGGGCGCUUACCACGGUAGGAUUCGUGACUGGGGUGAAGUCGUAACAAGGUAGCCGUAUCGGAAGGUGCGGCUGGAUCACCUCCUUU